GACAGGGGAUGCAAGCGUUAUCCGGAAUGAUUGGGCGUAAAGCGUCUGUAGGUGGCUUUUUAAGUCUGCCGUCAAAUCCCAGGGCUCAACCCUGGCCAGGCGGUGGAGACUACUAAGCUGGAGUACGGUAGGGGCAGAGGGAAUUUCCGGUGGAGCGGUGAAAUGCGUAGAUAUCCGGAAGAACACCCAUGGCGAAGGCACGUUUCUGGCUGGUUCCUGACGCUGAGGUGCGAAAGCUAGGGGAGCGAACGGG
rnacentral:rRNA from 1 species